CUUACAUUUUGCCUGUUGCUUUCCGGUUUUUCCGGCCAGCUCUUUGUAUUUCCCGUCGAAUCCCUCCACCGAGCUUCUCUUCUCAGCUGCUGCACAACUGGCACAAAUAAAUGGAAAAGCAAGGAAAAAAAAAAACAAUCGACGAAGAAGAAAAACCCGCUGGAAACUACUUUCGCUACUCGCUUUUAUGGGAAAGGGGGUGUUUGCGGAAAAUUGAAUAUGGCUAAAUGCGCUUGACCAAAGAAAAGGCCAGCACAAACAUGAAGACAAACGAGCCUUUAAUGCGCUUCACUGGAGAUGGAGAUAAGCGACUACAUAGAGAUGACUACGAAAACACAGCGACAGUUCAGGCUAAAAACCCGGCGGAGAAAUCCCAGCCAAUCCCACUCGAAGUUAUUCAUUUUUAAACUGCGCAACCCACACAACUCGGCGAUGCGGUGGAAAAUGAUGAUUCAAUUUGGUGGCAUUGUGGUCGGCAGCAAACGAAAAAAAAACCUUUUCAAUGGUUCUCGAGUUAAAUAUCCUGAGGAUUCGGUCAGCAUUCUUGGCUUAAUCUGCUAGUUUUUGAUUGAUAGGCUUAAUAAGGCUUAUAUUGCGUGGGUGGAAUUCGGGAAUAAUGUUGGAAAGCCUGCCACAAUGAAAUUAGCCUGUGUUUGGGAUUUUGAUGAAUGAUGUUGAGGUCAUUGGACAAGCGAAAAUCGGCAAAGUUAAAUCUUUUAUCUGUCCAAAUAUAACCACAGAAAAGAAAGAUACAUGAACACAUUUGUUUUAGUAAUUCUUAAUAUGAGUUUAUUAUCCACAAUCAUAGCCAAUAAAUAGCAAAAGGUGAUUUAUUCUCACUUAUUCGAAUCAAAUCGUAA